rnacentral:rRNA from 1 species
AUGGAUCGCGGUGCUGAUGAGCAGAACGGCGGCGACGCGGCGGAGUGGAAGAAGGUGGCCGACCUGAGGGUCGUCGUGGAGGCUCAGGACCCCGCUGCCAAGGAGGAAGACGACUUUGCUCUAUGGAGGUUCCUACGGGCCCGUGACCACAACAUCGACAAGGCAUCGGCGAUGUUGCUCAAGUACUUGAGCUGGAAACGCACCACCAAGCCACGCGGUUUCAUUACCGAUUAUGAGGUGCAAGGUGAGCUCGUGCAGGAGAAGCUCUAUAUGCAGGGCUUGGAUAAGAAGGGGCGCCCGCUAGUGUACCUCUUCCUCGCCCGCCACUUCCCCGCCAAGCGUGACCUCGAUGAGUUCAAGCGCUACGCCAUCUACAUCCUCGACAACACCUGCACCAGGUUGCACGCAGGGCAAGAAAAGUUUGCGGUGGUGGCGGACCUUCGGGGUUGGGGGUAUGCGAAUUGCGACAUCCGAGCAUAUGUCGCGGCACUAGACAUCAUGCAGAGCUACUACCCGGAGCGGCUGGGGCGGGUGCUCCUGAUCCAUGUGCCCUACGUGUUCAUGGCGGCAUGGAAGAUGUUGUACCCUUUCAUUGAUGAUAAGACCAAGGAGAAGUUUGUGUUCGUCGCCGACAGAGACCUCGAUGCCACGUUUCGUGACUCCAUCGACGAGUCCCAGCUGCCCGAGGUGUACGGGGGCAUGCUUGAGCUUCGGGGCUACAACGAUUUGUCGCCACCGUCGUCGUCCAAUUAA